rnacentral:rRNA from 1 species
GACGAACGCUGGCGGCGUGCUUAACACAUGCAAGUCGAACGGAAAGGCCCCUUUGGGGGUACUCGAGUGGCGAACGGGUGAGUAACACGUGAGUAACCUGCCCUUGACUUCGGGAUAACUUCAGGAAACUGGGGCUAAUACCGGAUAGGAAUCCUUGCUGCAUGGGGGGGGUUGGAAAGCUUCGGCGGUUUUGGAUGGACUCGCGGCUUAUCAGCUUGUUGGUGUGGUAGUGGCUUACCAAGGCUUUGACGGGUAGCCGGCCUGAGAGGGCGACCGGCCACAUUGGGACUGAGAUACGGCCCAGACUCCUACGGGAGGCAGCAGUGGGGAAGAUUGCACAAUGGGCGGAAGCCUGAUGCAGCAACGCCGCGGGCGGGAUGACGGCCUUCGGGUGGUAAACCGCUUUCAGCAGGGGCGAAGCUUGUGGUGACGGUACCUGCAGAAGAAGCACCGGCUAACUACGUG